rnacentral:tRNA from 1 species
GCCCGGGUGGCGGAAUUGGUAGACGCGCUGGUCUCAAACACCUGGGGUUCACCCCCGUAUCGGUUCGACCCCGAUCCGGGUA